UACGUAGGAUGCGAGCGUUAUCCGGAUUUAUUAGGUUUAAAGGGUGCGUAGGCGGGCUUUUAAGUCAGCGGUAAAAAUUCGGGGCUCAACCCCGUCCGGCCGUUGAAACUGGGGGCCUUGAGUGGGCGAGAAGAAGGCGGAAUGCGUGGUGUAGCGGUGAAAUGCAUAGAUAUCACGCAGAACCCCGAUUGCGAAGGCAGCCUUCCGGCGCCCUACUGACGCUGAGGCACGAAAGUGCGGGGAUCGAACAGG
rnacentral:rRNA from 1 species